rnacentral:lncRNA from 1 species
UAGAAUUCGUGAAUGAAAGGUAAAGUUUAGAGGUAAAAUGAGUUAGGCUUAAAAAAAAUAAGGAAUAUAUAGAGUUUUUAUAGAUAAAUUUGUAUAACUAUGUGCUCAGUAAGAAACCAUUGGAUAUAGAAAAUUUCGAGUCAUAUCCUAUAAAAGAUAAUUAUGAAAAAUAAAGAAAUAAAUUCAAUAAAUAAUAAAAAAUAUAAAAAAUAAGU